rnacentral:rRNA from 1 species
UACGAAGGGGGCUAGCGUUGCUCGGAAUUACUGGGCGUAAAGCGCACGUAGGCGGUCUUUUAAGUCGGGGGUGAAAUCCUGGAGCUCAACUCCAGAACUGCCUUCGAUACUGGAAGACUCGAGUCCGGGAGAGGUGAGUGGAACUGCGAGUGUAGAGGUGAAAUUCGUAGAUAUUCGCAAGAACACCAGUGGCGAAGGCGGCUCACUGGCCCGGUACUGACGCUGAGGUGCGAAGCGAUGGUG